rnacentral:misc_RNA from 1 species
UUUCCGUAGGUGAACCUGCGGAAGGAUCAUUAUCGUAUAACCGAGGUGCGAGGGCUGUCGCUGACCCGAAAGGUCGUGCACGCCCGAGUGCCCUCACGCACAUCCAUCUUACCCCUAUGUGCACCACCGCGUGGGUCCCCCUUUGGCUUGUUCGGAGGGGGGCUUACGUUUUCACACAAACUUUGUAUGCAGUGUAGAAUGUAUUUUUUGUUUUUGCGAUCACGCAAUCAAUACAACUUUCAACAACGGAUCUCUUGGCUCUC